GCGGCCGUGGUCUAGUCUGGUCUAGGACGUUGGCCUUCCAAGCCAACUACCCGGGUUCAAAUCCCGGCAGCCGCA
rnacentral:tRNA from 1 species